GAGACAAGAUGGCGGCGCCCGGCGGAGGGAGCGUGGAGGAUGAGGAGGCUGAGCCCGUGUUGGGGCGGUUGGAGGAAGAAGCGCGGCGGAGGCAGGAAAGGCUGCGAGCCCUGCGGCAGAGAGCUAUGCAGAAUAAGAACAGUGGCGAACCUGAGGCCAAGCAGUUCAAAGAAGACGAGGAAGAGGAGAAUGUCAGGCACAGGGAGCUUAUACUGCGAAACUAUGACCCUGAAGAUGAGGAGCUGAAGAAGAGGAAAUUGCCCCCGGCCAAGCCAGCCUCAGUGGAAGACAAGGUGAAGGACCAGCUGGAGGCAGCUAAGCCAGAGACCAUCAUCGACGAAGUGGAUCUAACAAACCUGGCCCCCAGGAAGCCAGACUGGGAUUUAAAACGAGACGUAGCCAAGAAGAUGGAGAAGCUGGAAAAGAGGACUCAGAGAGCCAUUGCUGAACUGAUCCGAGAGCGCUUGAAAGGGCAGGAGGAGGAGUUGGCAGCAGCUGUUGGGUCAGCAAAGCAGGAUGGAAGCGACUCGGACUGAUGUGCUCCAUCUGGGCAUGGGCUCUACCAGCAACACUGAUCCCAUCACUGCCAGCUCAAAGGAUGCAAGGAUCAAGCCCAGACUCCUGGGCUGGGAUGAGCGAGAGGCUGGAUCCCAACUGGACCAUGUGAAUCAUGGACACCAAACCUGCACGUGGGAGCUGGGACCUCAUCCCACUGCUGGAGACAGUGGCUCUUUGAAGGCCUGUGCAGCCAUGCUGCAUUGCUUCUGCCUUCCUCAGGCUUGAGCACGUCCUGUCCUCAGUCAGUCCUUCCCAAAUGGGUCGGGAUCUGCUGUUUCAGCAAGAGAAAACUACACAACCCUGACCUCCUUUGGGGUGGGAGUGCUGCAGCUUGUAGCAAUUUCAUCAAAUAACUGCAGGCUGAGGUUCAGGAGCCCAAUUUCUUAAAGAAGAAGAAAGCGAAGAAGUGAGCCCCAGGAGUUUUGCUUCAUUUUUAGUGACAGUUUGGUCUCUUUCUAUAAAAGCAGAAAAUUGACCAGUGUAGCUCUUGGAGUCAGGUGGCAUCCAUCUCAGCAUCUGCCUGUGACUGGCCUGGAGGGAAACAGGCUUUCUGAACUGGGGAUGCUGAAAGAAAGAAAAAAAGCUUUCUUAGCAUCCCAUAGCUGGAGUUGAACACAUCUGUUAAUGUAAUGAAAUUCAGCCACCCAGGCACUCCCUGCUAGCAAGCUAUCUCAAUUACGACUUAAUAUCCUAUAGGCCAUAUAUCUUUCUAUAUAUUCAUGAAAAACAAAGGACUAAGCCCUGAAUACAGAUGGAGCUGGGGGGAGGCAUCAUGAGAGAGGGGCUUUUUGGAGGCUGCUCCUCACAGCCCAAUGCUGGUGUGAACGUUGGCAGCCUGCAGUGGUUGGGUGCUCCCCCAGUGCCAGCCCAAAGCGAAGAUCCCUUGCUGGGUGUCCAUCCUGGGGGGUCCUAAUUCUCCAUGAGUUUUACUUGUUCUUGCAGGGAAUUGUGUUUUGCGAGUUGUUUGUUUUUUUUCCCCCCAAGAUGGAUUUUUGACCAU